rnacentral:tRNA from 1 species
UAGCUCAGCUGGAUAGAGCAACGGCCUUCUAAGCCGUGGGUCGGGGGUUCGAAUCCC